rnacentral:tRNA from 1 species
GGAGAUUUCAUCUAAUGGUUAGGAUUGCACAUUUUCGUUGUGUCUAUAUGGGUUCAAGUCCCAUAAUCUCUA